rnacentral:rRNA from 1 species
AUUAAACGCUGGCGGCAUGCCUUACACAUGCAAGUCGAACGGCAGCACGGGGGCAACCCUGGUGGCGAGUGGCGAACGGGUGAGUAAAGCAUCGGAACGUGCCCUGGAGUGGGGGGAUAACGUAGCGAAAGUUACGCUAAUACCGCAUAUUCUGUGAGCAGGAAAGCAGGGGAUCGCAAGACCUUGCGCUCUGGGAGCGGCCGAUGUCGGAUUAGCUAGUUGGUGGGGUAAAGGCCUACCAAGGCGACGAUCCGUAGCGGGUCUGAGAGGAUGAUCCGCCACACUGGGACUGAGACACGGCCCAGACUCCUACGGGAGGCAGCAGUGGGGAAUUUUGGACAAUGGGCGAAAGCCUGAUCCAGCCAUGCCGCGUGAGUGAAGAAGGCCUUCGGGUU